AUAUUUCGAGCAAUGGAUGUAUUUAGUUGGUGAUCAAGAAGGCCAAUGAUCUAGGGAAAAUGCUUCCAUUGCACUAGGGAGGUGGGCUAUUGUGACAUCUUCCCAAGUGGGAGAAUGUACAUCAUAAUUUGUGGUAGAGGCAGCAUGCGUUCAGGCUGCCC